rnacentral:rRNA from 1 species
GCAUAUAGUAGGCGGCGGAGAUUACCCAAAAGGGAUUCCUUCAGUAAUGGCGAAUGAACGGGGAAAAGCUCAGCAAAGAAAUCAGGGACCCCGGCCUUGAGUUGUGGACUUGAGAGGUAUUGCCAAUGGUGGCGCAGGUGCGGGCCUCUUGGAAAAGGGCACCACAGAGGGUGUGAGUCCUGUUUGUCAUCUGUAGUCCGCCAUGUACGGCAUGAUUCCUCAGAGUCACGUUCCUUGGAAUUGGAGCGCGAAGGUGGUGGUGGCUUUCAUCUCAAGCUAAGUAUGGGUUCGAGACCGAUAGCAAACAAGUACCAUGAGGGAAGAUUGAAAAGAGCUUUGGAAAGAGAGUUAAAAGUGCCCGAACUUGCUGAUAGGGAAGCGAAGGGAGCUGACGUUGCUUGGUGACAUAUUCCGCGCAAGAGUAGGAUGGGUUCUGAUUGCAAUCUGCGUAGUGCUUCUUGCCGUGCGUGUCGAUGCCAAGCAAUGAGUGGGGAGAGCACCAGGGAUAAUGAUUGUUUCUGUCCCCGGGUGGACGAAGGUGCCUGGUCGCAUCCAUUUGUGGGCUGAAACAAAUGGUGGCUGGUUGCAGCGCCCUGUGCCUGCUAGGCAGUUGGGGUGCAGCCCUGAUACGCAGACGAGGACAAAGUGCUUCUGUUCGACCCGUCUUGAAACACGGGAACCAACGAACUA